rnacentral:rRNA from 4 species
UCAGGUGCCUAUAUCGGCGGUGUCCACCUCUUCCCAUUCCGAACAGAGAAGUUAAGCCCGCCAGAGCCGAUGGUAUUGCCGUAACAGGUGGGAGAGUAGGUCGGCGCCUAUU